UGAUGAUGUCACUGUGAACUGCGAUGUCCUACCUGCUAAACAGAUUUCCCUACAUUGACCAGAUUUGGAGUGCCCUUUCCAGGCAUCUGCAGAUACUUCCUUUUGAGGAACAAAUCCUUCUCAGGAGACCAUAGACGGAACCUGCAUUUCAAUGAUAAUUAAAUGGCACUUCAAGGCAUCAAAUCAAUAUAUCAACGUGAGAAUUGAAUAAAUUUAUUAGGACAGUGUUUUGCAAAGAUCUUCUUUCACAAACAGCUUUGGAAGGAGUAUUCUGAAAUUUUGCAUUUCAUAUUUGACUUUGCUGGUACUCUGACAGAAUCAACUCACAACUAUUUGGGACUUUAUGGGCAAUUAAAUACUACAAACAAUGCUGAAUUCAUCAAUUCAUCAAUGCCGUCUGUGUUAAUAUGGCCACAGUGAAGAACAACUAUGCUAAAGCUAUUUAUCUGUUUUUCAAUCAGCAUCCUCAUACAAGUGUGGACUUCUGUGGGUCAUUGGAUGGAUAGGUUGAGAACACUGGCUGAGAGCUCCAAAUGCUGAAGUGGGAUGGUCCAUGCUUGGGGCGUGAAUGGCCUGUUUGUAGGUCAUAAACAACUUCACAACAUUCAUUGCUUUAAUAAUUACUAGGAAGUGGACUUCUGUAAAAUGACUUCAGCAGACCAGCCUGGUAGAGAAACAGUAACUGAUUCCCUGGAUAUUUAAAUGCACUGGAUUGUGAAACAUGGACUUAGAGGUAGAGACAUGUCAGCAAAUGAAGACUGGAUAAUCAAACCUCUGUUGUGUCUUAAGUUUCCCUACCCCAUAGUUUGAGGCAAACAGCAACAGAUUUUUUGCACUGAGGAAUAGAAUAAAAGCCAAUUUGUUGAAAAUCCCA